AGGUGCGAUCAUACCAUAAUUAUUGCACUGAAUCCCAUCAGAACUCCGCAAUUAAGCGUAUUUAGACGAAAAUAAUACUAAGAUGGGUGACCUCCUGAAAAGUCUUUGUGUUGCACCUC
rnacentral:rRNA from 2 species